CUCUAAGCCUCGCUUUUUUGCUGGUAGACGCACACCAUCACAUCCUACAUAAUAUUUAGCUCUGAGGCGUUUCCAGAUGGGAAGUGCGUUUCUGUAUUUUCAUAGCCGUGUUCUCUACGUGAAUGGACUGGCGUGAAGCUGGGGGCUGACGGCUGACAGGGCAGAACAACUUCCAGUAAAAGAAGGCACUGAGGAUUAAAUGCUACGUGGGAGCAGUUGCUGAUUUUUGCAAUGGGAGGCUGCAUAGAUUCAAGGACUUCCUCAGGUGCUCCAGGAGCUUGUCAUUCCAGAGGAGAGCAGCCCAGAAGUCCUGGGAUUUACACCUCCUGUAGAAACCCUCAACCAGAGAAAGAUGGAAGUCAAUGAGUAAGUACCCCAGCUUCCCUUGCUGGGCAAUUCUGAGGUGUUUCCUCCACAGUCCCUCAGAGCGCCCCCGUUGGAAUCGAGGCCAGUUUUCUACAGCAGUCACCUGCUCAGGGAUAUGCCUUUUUUUGGCCCUUCUCCCUUCCACGUCUGCCUUUCUCCUCCCUCAACUUGUACUUCUUGGACUUUCCUCUCAACCUGCACCCAAGUCAUGGUCUCAGGGUCUGUUUUUGGGGGACCCACGCCAAGACUGUCAUUAUCAUCAUCAUCAUUGUCAAUUCAUUUUCUUUCUUUCUUUUUUUUGAGAUAGAGUCUU